rnacentral:rRNA from 1 species
AACGCGAAGAACCUUACCUGGUCUUGACAUCCACGGAAGUUUUCAGAGAUGAGAAUGUGCCUUCGGGAACCGUGAGACAGGUGCUGCAUGGCUGUCGUCAGCUCGUGUUGUGAAAUGUUGGGUUAAGUCCCGCAACGAGCGCAACCCUUAUCCUUUGUUGCCAGCGGUCCGGCCGGGAACUCAAAGGAGACUGCCAGUGAUAAACUGGAGGAAGGUGGGGAUGACGUCAAGUCAUCAUGGCCCUUACGACCAGGGCUACACACAUGCUACAAUGGCGCAUACAAAGAGAAGCGACCUCGCGAGAGCAAGCGGACCUCAUAAAGUGCGUCGUAGUCCGGAUUGGAGUCUGCAACUCGACUCCAUGAAGUCGGGAUCGCUAGUAAUCGUGGAUCAGAAUGCCACGGUGAAUACGUUCCCGGGCCUUGUACACACCG